CCUACGGGAGGCAGCAGUGAGGAAUAUUGGUCAAUGGGCGCGAGCCUGAACCAGCCAAGUAGCGUGAAGGAUGACUGCCCUACGGGUUGUAAACUUCUUUUAUAAAGGAAUAAAGUGAGGCACGUGUGCCUUUUUGUAUGUACUUUAUGAAUAAGGAUCGGCUAACUCCGUGCCAGCAGCCGCGGUAAUACGGAGGAUCCAAGCUUUAUCCGGAUUUAUUGGGUUUAAAGGGUGCGUAGGCGGCCCGUAAAGGUUGGUGUUAAAGGCAGAGGCUCAACUUCGGUACGGCACUGGAUACUUGCGAGCUAGAAAGCGGUAGAGGUAAAGGGAAUGCCUGGUGUAGCGGUGAAAUGCUGAGAGAUCAGGAGGAACAUCGGUGGCGUAAGCGCUUUACUGGGCCGUAAUUGACGCUGAGGAACGAAAGCCAGGGUAGCAAAUGGGAUUAGAUACCCUGGUAGUC
rnacentral:rRNA from 1 species